rnacentral:lncRNA from 1 species
GGAAUUUUCGUCGUGCGGGUACCCCCGCAACUGCCUAGUUUGGGAAUUUUGGUCAUUUGGCACACCAUAACCUUUGGGGAUCAGAUCUAGAGGCUCAUUCACGAAUUUUCCACCAUUGAAGACCUGCAAGUGACGAUUUGGAGAGCAAAAUAAUCAAUUUCUUUCAUCUUUUCAAGUCUUAGGUAGAUUCUUGAUGCAAAAUAAUUAUUGUUCUUGUUACUUUGUUGCCAUGAGUGGCUAAUACUCUUAUUUGGUUGACUUUGGCUGAAAACCAAUGAAUGUUUGUGGGUUUUGAAGGAUUUAUGUUGAUUAUCAAUUUAUUCCAUGUUUAUGAUUCUAGUUUACAAUUCUUAUGCUUAUUUGAUGCUUUGAUCAUGAGCUUAGUAUUUGAUUGAGCAAUGGUUGAUUUGUUUCAUUGAUUUUGCAUUGGAUCAUUGAAUUUAUCUAGAACAAAGGCUUUAUGAUGGUAGAAAUCAUCUCUAGCUUAUGAAUCAUAGCUCCUUUAUGGAUGUGUAAGCAUUUGACAUCCUCUAGGAAUUGGGGAUUCCUUCAUUCUUAAGGCUAAUUGAUUUCUUGGGAUUAAUUGCUUCAAUUGACCCUUGAUCUUAAUUAAGAAGGUGUGUUGUGGGCUUCCCCAACCUCCAUACUACCUAUGAGGAANUGAUGGUAGAAAUCAUCUCUAGCUUAUGAAUCAUAGCUCCUUUAUGGAUGUGUAAACAUUUGACAUCCUCUAGGAAUUGGGGAUUCAUUCAUUCUCAAGGCUAGUUGAUUUCUUGGGAUUAAUUGCUUCAAUUGACCCUUGAUCUUAAUUAAGAAGGUGUGUUGUGGGCUUCCCCAACCUCCAUACUACCUAUGAGGAAUCUUGGCAUAUCAUGCUUCAUGAUUGCUAUAAGCAAUUUGGGAUGAAGGAUAAGAUUUGUAUUAGAUCCUAAUGAUAAACACACAAAUGUUCAUUGUGUUGAAUUGCCUAACCAAUUAUUUUCAACCUUUGAGCAUCUCAUCAACAUGCUUAAUUUCAAGGUUUUUAGUUAUUCAAGUAUUUUAGUUUUCAAGUAAUCAAACCCCCCCCCCUUUAGUUUAAUUGUAGUUAGUUAGUUUAAUUUCACUAGUUCUAUUGAAUUGCAUUGGUGAUUGAAUACAACCAUUUCCCCGAGGAUCGAUACCCCUUUUUACCAUUAUAUUACGUUUAUUUAGCAAUCAAAUGUUGUAAUUUGCUUCGUGGACUUGACAUCCCACCAAGUUUUGGCACCGUUGCCGGGGAAAUUGGUUAUUGUUAUUUGAUUGUUUAUGCCUAGGUCUACAAGAACCGGUGAACUACUCUACAAUCCGAAAAUUGAAAGAGUAGCAAAAAGGUUGAAAAAGUUAGCCAAACAAGCAAAGAAACAACAACUAGUUCAAGCUUCUUCCUCUUCUCCACUAAUCAACAUAGAAGAUCAAGUUCAUACUUGAAGUGAUACCGACACCGAACCGAGUUCUCUAAUUGUUGGUCAUUCCUUUGAAAAC